rnacentral:rRNA from 1 species
GACGAACGCUGGCGGCGUGCUUAACACAUGCAAGUCGAACGAAGUGGCGAACGGGUGAGUAACGCGUCAUCAACCUGCCCUUCAGAGGGUGAGAACAGGUGGAAACGACGGCUACUACCGCAUAUUGAAGGAGGGGAUUUCGUCGGCUUGGCUAGUGGGAGGGGUAACGGCCCACCAAGGCGAUGAUCAGUAGCCGGUCUGAGAGGAUGAAGGGCGAGAAUGGGACUAGGAGAAGGCCCAGACGGCUACGGGAGGCAGCAGUGGGGAAUCUUCCGGAAUGGACGAAAGGCUGACGGAGCAACGCCGCGGGAGUGAUGACGGCCUUCGGGUUGUAAAGCUCUGUUAAUCGGGACGCGGUACCGGAAUAGAAAGCCACGGCUAACUACGUGCCAGCAGCCGCGGUAAUAC